rnacentral:rRNA from 1 species
GGGGAAUUUUGGACAAUGGGGGCAACCCUGAUCCAGCCAUGCCGCGUGAGUGAAGAAGGCCUUCGGGUUGUAAAGCUCUUUCGGCCGGGAAGAAAUCGUGCAGGCUAAUACCCUGUAUGGAUGACGGUACCGGAAUAAGAAGCACCGGCUAACUACGUGCCAGCAGCCGCGGUAAUACGUAGGGUGCGAGCGUUAAUCGGAAUUACUGGGCGUAAAGCGUGCGCAGGCGGUUUUGUAAGACAGGCGUGAAAUCCCCGGGCUCAACCUGGGAACUGCGCUUGUGACUGCAAGACUAGAGUACGGCAGAGGGGGGUGGAAUUCCACGUGUAGCAGUGAAAUGCGUAGAGAUGUGGAGGAACACCAAUGGCGAAGGCAGCCCCCUGGGUCGAUACUGACGCUCAUGCACGAAAGCGUGGGGAGCAAAC